AAUUUUAUCGUGGUAGCUUAAAUAUUUCUCCUCGUGAUAUCGAGUAACGGAGAAUCGCCUUCGAGGAAAAGCCGGAGGUGGCGGUGGUUGUACUCGAUGGCUCCUAUCGACGGAUUCGCUUCUGAGAGCUUGGACAGCCUUUGGCACGGCCCUGAACGGCUCCUGCGGAGCCUUGGUGAUCAUACCAGAGGCCAGAUUGCCAUUUCCGACGGUGUCGUUAAAAUUACUCGCGCCUCCGCCAACGCUUCCUCCGCCAUGGAAGCUGUUCCAUCUUCUGACAGGACCUCUAUUAGCAACAUGGUGUCCGCUUCCGGGGCCGCCGGGACCACGUAGUUGGCUCGUGUGCUUGUGCAUUCUCUCACUUUCUCUUUUUCCUUCUCUUUCUCAGCCCUCGGUGAUCCUCCACGACUCGGACGCCUCCUCCUUCGCCUCCAUCUUCUUCGUUUUCUUCUCUUUUUAUUAUUUUGUCACCCGUCCUCGACGAUCUGGACUACAUUCUUCAGAACUUCCCUUCGUUGCCAAUGUCCCUCUCUUCUCUCCCCUCUUUUUUUGGUCGAUCUUUCCUUUCUCUCGGCUUUUUAUUUAAAUUGGGAAGUCCUGUGACGUGUCUUUUUAUUCAAAUUGGAAAAUCCACUGAUAUAUGUUGCAAUCAGAGAAUUUUAGUGUUUUAUCGAGAUGGUUCCGUAGAGCGAGAGCUUUUUCCCAGUGACGAUUUGGUAGCUAGAAGUUUGUCUGUCGAAAGGAAUUCGAAUUUUCCAGUUAGAAUGUGUUUGUGUUGGAUUCCGUAAAUGUUCGUGAACCAGGCUUUCAUCGAUCAACGUUGGCCAGCUUUCAAGCAAGUUUCUCAGGAUUAACGUUGCUGUCUGCAGGAGUUCCGAAGAAUAUUGCAUCCUUAGGGGUUCUAAACUUCGCUUCGCGUGUAUAUUUGAUUCGAGUAGAGCAAGGAUGUUACAGAAUGUUAUAUAAGUAGUAAUAAGUAGCAUCUUUUUGAUAUAGCUCAAAUAUAAGCACCGUUAGACAUUAGACUUUGUAGAUAUUUUCUAUCGUUUUCUAAAUAACAAUAAACAUAGACCGUGUUUCAAAAUAUAAAGCAUGAAUCCGAGAAUUUUGUCAUAUUUCACGUUCUAAA
rnacentral:misc_RNA from 1 species